rnacentral:rRNA from 1 species
UACGUAGGGUGCUAACGUUGUUCGGAAUCACUGGGCAUAAAGAGCGCGUAGGCGGUCCAGUCAGUCCUUUGUGAAAGCCCUCGGCCUAACCGGGGAAUUGCAGGGGAUACUGCUGGGCUAGAGUACAGGAGGGGAGAGCGGAAUUCCUGGUGGAGCGGUGAAAUGCGUAGAUAUCAGGAGGAACGCCGGCGGCGAAAGCGGCUCUCUGGUCUGUCACUGACGCUGAGGCGCGAAAGCUAGGGGAGCAAACGGG